rnacentral:rRNA from 1 species
CNGCAGUCGACGAUUCUACGGGAGGCAGCAGUAGGGAAUUUUGCGCAAUGGACGAAAGUCUGACGCAGCGAUACCGUGUGUGGGAAGAAGCUCUGUGGAGUGUAAACCACUGUCGGAAGGGAAGAAUAAAUGACGGUACCUUCAAAGGAAGCACCGGCUAACUCUGUGCCAGCAGCCGCGGUAAUACAGAGGGUGCAAGCGUUGUCCGGAUUUAUUGGGCGUAAAGCGUCUGUAGGUUGUUUGACAAGUCUGGAGUGAAAGAAUGAAGCUCAACUUCAUACCCGCUUCGGAAACUGUCAGACUAGAGAUUGUUAGGGGUAAGUGGAAUUCCAAGUGUAGCGGUGAAAUGCGUAGAUAUUUGGAGGAACACCAAUGGCGAAAGCAGCUUACUGGGACAUAUCUGACACUGAGAGACGAAAGCUAGGGGAGCGAAAGGGAUUAGAUACCCCUGUAGUCCUAGCCGUAAACGAUGAGUACUAGUUGUCAUGGGAAUCGACCCCCGUGGUAACGUAGCUAACGCGUUAAGUACUCCGCCUGAGUAGUAUGUACGCAAGUAUGAAACUCAAAUGAAUUGACGG